CCAAGGCGGUAGUGCCCAGGUUAGUGCGUUGUAGGCUAGGUUGUCGGCGCAUAGGCCUGAUGGCCCAUGCGCAGACAUACUACACACAGGCACCAGGCGCGCAGGGCCUAUCCGUGUAGGCUUGUUGCCCGGAUAGUGCACGCACAGUGUGCGGUGCCUGUUUGCGCAUGAGGUGAUGAGCGGACAGCCAGCCAGCGCGCGGUAAAACGGCCGCAGGACCAGUCCCUGCACCAUGAGUGCGGAUGGGACAUGCGCAGUGUACACGUCUCGAAUCCACUUUGUGUGCGUGCACUCGUGCGCAGUGCAUGGCAUCCACACAGGCGGCUCUACUUCCCCGCAGGAUUUCUUCCCGUUUUGCCGUUUUUCUUAUUUU
rnacentral:lncRNA from 1 species